CAGCACGGGGUCCAAUCCUCAUCUCCCCAUAUGACAGUGACUCACAUCCCUCCCUCUCUCUAGACUCACUAGUAACCAGGUAACCAGGCCCAAGUCUACCCUGCGAAUCCAGGCCACAGAAAGUGAUCAUAUGCAGAUACUGGUCCCUCUGAAGACACUCAUUUCCUGACCCUCCUGAGGAGGUUCAGUGGGCCUCUGGGUUCACUUAGGGGCACCUGGAGAGCCCUGAUACAACCUCAUGUGACAACUCUGCUCCUGGCCCUUGCAGACUUAAAAUGCGGAGUUCUCCUUCAAGCUGUGACUGAAUACAAUACAAGAUCACAAGAUACUAGAAGACACACCCAAAUGCUAAGCUACAUUUUUGUUCCAGCUGAGGACAAGGAAUUUUGUUGAGGAUGGAAAGAGCUAUUGGGAAAGGAAGGUUACAUGACCCUUAACACCAUUUCUAAAAUCUGGCACCUGAGAAUUGACUCUCUUACCCACAAUGGAUCUUGCCACCUUACAAUGGAGGACCCAUUUUCUGUCCAAGAGAGCUUGUGAUAUAUUCAUUUCUUCAAUAAACAUUUAAGUUCCUACUAUGUACA
rnacentral:lncRNA from 1 species